rnacentral:misc_RNA from 1 species
GAUUGGGGUUAAUUUGCAGAAAUUCAGCUCCAGUGAAGAGAUCCGUCGCCGGUGAGAAAUGUCGGAUUAUUUGCCUCAAGAAUUAUUGGUUGAUAUCUUCACAAAACUACCAGUCAAAUCAAUCCUCCGAUGCAGAAGUGUUUGCAAGUCAUGGUAUUCUCUUCUUACUAGCCCUAGCUUUACCUUCACACAUCUCAAUCGAAAACGAGAUGAUCAUAUGCUGAUUAGGAAUUAUGGUAGAAGCACUCGAUUAGAUAUGUAUCCUUUGUUUGGUAACAAUGAGAGGUUGGAUCCCGACCAUUUCUUAGAUUUUUCAUUUCGUAGAGGUUCCGUUAGUAUAGUGGGUAGUGUUAAUGGUAUUUUGUGCCUCGCCGACACCGACACCGACGCCGACGCCGAUACCGAUGCCGACGCCGACUCCGCCA